rnacentral:lncRNA from 1 species
GCCGAACGGCGAGGCCAACGUCCACCGUCCAAGCGCCGCUUGAAAGUCGAAACUUUCCCGAGAAAAUCAAGGAAAGAAAGCGAGAGAGAAAGAGAAGGAAAAUGGCUGGGAGCUCUAAUACUUGGGCCUAUGCCCGGAUCAUCACCGGAACCAUUCUCGGUGGCGUUCUCGGCUUCUACGUCAUGGAUCGCGUCGAGAAAAGCUACAAGGUCUUCUUACCUCCCCCUCUCUGUUUAUCAUUCUUCUUAUUAAGCUCACUCUCUGUCUGAUUUUCGGAAAUGAAAAUUAUAGCUUCCUGAGCAACUCAAACAAUGGAAUCAUAGCAGAAAUUUAUCAAUAUAACUUUGUAAUCUGAUUGAUUUUCAUAUGGAAUCUUGGAUUUUGAUGAAUACAGGAGAAAGUGAAGGAGAGACUGAGACAGUACGAAAGUGAAUUGAAGAAGAAAGAGAAAUUGAAUGAGUUUGAAGAGUCUAUGUAGACUGUACCCUACCAGUGUUCUUUCUUCUUUUUACUUCUGCUUGUGGUUGUUGAACACAAAAAUGUUGAAAUUUUGAAUCAUAUGUUUUUGUAUUUGGACUUAGCCAGUACUGGAGUUUGAUUCGAAUGAGAGUGUCUAUAUUUGAGGAAAAAGAGCCCAACUUUCACGACCCAUCAAGCCAAUUUGCUUUCAAGAAUAUUGCAUG